rnacentral:rRNA from 1 species
UACGUAGGAGGCGAGCGCUGUCCGGAAUUACUGGGCGUAAAGAGCGCGUAUGCGGCACGGGACGACCGGUGUGAAAGCCCCCGGCUCAACUGGGGAGGGUCAUUGGAAACUGGGAGACUUGAGUGCAGAAGAGGAAAGUGGAAUUCCAUGUGUAGCGGUGAAAUGCGUAGAGAUAUGGAGGAACACCAGUGGCGAAGGCGACUUUCUGGUCUGUAACUGACACUGAGGCGCGAAAGCGUGGGAAGCAAACAGG